rnacentral:lncRNA from 1 species
UUUGAAACAUGUUUGUAAUCUCAGGUGUAAUUUGUUUCAGAUAAAUAUUUCAUUUAAAGUUACUGUAUCGUAGUGUAAUAUAUAUAUAUAUAUAUUUUUUUUUUAAACAUUUUCUGACACAAUACACAACACAGCAUCUGACACAAAGGCUCAGUAACACAGGCCGGCAUGUGUACUACCACAAACACACACACACACACACACACACACACACACACACACACACACACACACACACACACACACACACACACACACACACACACACACACACACACACACACACACACACACACACACACACACACACACACACACACACACACACACACACACACACACACACACACACACACACACAGUCAUCACUGCUACAAAUCCUCUAGUUCUGGCAACGCCUCCCUUCUAAUCAAAGGCUUUAUUCACUAAGGCUUAAAACAAAUGAAAAUAUAGAGUACACACAACCCACUCUCACACACACACACACAGGCACACACGCGCACACACACACACACACACACACACACACACACACACACACACACACACACACACACACACACACACACACACACACACACACACACACACACACACACACACACACACACACACAUAUAUAUAUAUACACCACCCAAAUACCAUUGUGUCACCUACCCAGAGUGCAGCUGUUACGUGCUCCCCUAAAUGUCUGCAGCACUCCACCUCACAAUCUGAGUGCGCGAGGCACUGCACCCGGACUAAAUGAAAAACAAUCUGAGGAAACCAGGAACAAUCAUAGGCAGGCUCCAGCAGGCUGCCAUAAAAAGAAGGCUGCUCCUAGCGUUCAGCCCACUCUAUGGACUGAUGAAAGAUCAAUGGGCAGACUGGGCAGCCACUGUACCCUCCAGUGCACCACUGCGCCAGGAAUCAAGCUAAUACAAAAAGAUGAGAAAACCCUUACACUCUAUGGAUAUUUGAACAGCCUUCCCAGUCAACACCACCUCAUAAGAUGAGGAAGUACAUUGUUUAUGAGGAUUGCUGAGAGUUGUCCAGUUUGCAGCCGAACAUGCAACAUUGAGG